rnacentral:rRNA from 1 species
ACGGGGUGCAGCAGGCGCGAAAACUUCACAAUGUGGGAAACCGCGAUGAGGGGAUUCCAAGUGCUAACACUUUGUGUUAGCUGUUCACCUGCCUAAAAAGCUGGUGAAGUAAGGGCCGGGUAAGACGGGUGCCAGCCGCCGCGGUAAUACCUGCGGCCCGAGUGGUGGUCGUUAUUAUUGAGCCUAAAGCGUCCGUAGCCGGUUCAGUAAAUCUCUGGGUAAAUCGGGCAGCUCAACUGUCCGAAUUCCGGAAAGACUGCUGAACUUGGGACCGGGGGAGGUUGGAGGUACUCCUGGGGUAGGGGUGAAAUCCUGUAAUCCUAGGGGGACCACCAGUGGCGAAGGCGUCCAACCAAAACGGCUCCGACGGUAAGGGACGAAGCCCUGGGGCGCAAACGGGAUUAGAUACCCCGGUAGUCCAGGGUGUAAACGCUGCAGGCUUGGUGUUGGGGGUCCUACGAGGGCGCCCAGUGCCGGAGAGAAGUUGUUAAGCCUGCCGCUUGGGAGUACGUCCGCAAGG